UACGUAGGGGGCAAGCGUUGUCCGGAAUCAUUGGGCGUAAAGAGCGUGUAGGCGGCUCGAUAAGUCUGCUGUGAAAGUCCAGGGCUCAACCCUGGGAUGCCGGUCGAUACUGCCGGACUAGAGUUCGGAAGAGGCGAGUGGAAUUCCCGGUGUAGCGGUGAAAUGCGCAGAUAUCGGGAGGAACACCUAUGGCGAAGGCAGCUCGCUGGGACGUUACUGACGCUGGAGACGCGAAAGCGUGGGGAGCAAACAGG
rnacentral:rRNA from 1 species